rnacentral:rRNA from 1 species
GGUAGUCUCGCACAGAUGCAUAUCAAUAAGCGGAGGAAAAGAAACUAACAAGGAUUCCCCUAGUAACGGCGAGUGAAGCGGGAAGAGCUCAAAUUUGAAAUCUUAAAGGGUUUCCCUUUACGAAUUGUAGUUUAAAGAAGUGUUUUCUGUUGAGGUUUUGGUAAAAGUUCUUUGGAAUAGGACAUCAUAGAGGGUGAGAAUCCCGUAUUUGACCUUUACUUUCAACUUUGUGAUACACUUUCAAAGAGUCGGAUUGUUUGGGAAUGCAGUCCAAAAUGGGUGGUAAAUUUCAUCUAAAGCUAAAUAUUGGCGAGAGACCGAUAGCGAACAAGUACCGUGAGGGAAAGAUGAAAAGAACUUUGAAAAGAGAGUUAAACAGUACGUGAAAUUGUCAAAAGGGAAGCGUUUGACACCAGUGUUGUUUUUCUGAAAAUCAAUUAAAGAACUGUUUAUGCUAAGCUGUUUAGACUUUAUCAGCUAUCUGUUUAGUUUUGAGCUUUUCUUUAAUGCACUUUUCAGUUAACAAGUCAACAUCAAUUUCUUUUGCUGUAAAAAAGCUUGAGGAAGGUGGCUUGAGAUUCGUCUUAAGUGUUUAUAGCCUCUUGCCUAUGCAGUCGGAGAGAUUGAGGCCUGCAGCGUAGAUCCUUCGGGGCUAAAUGCAUUUGUGCUAAGUUAUAGCAUUUUAUAGACAACUUGUUGACUAUGAUUUGUCUUGUAGCUUACUCGCUUAUGUUAUUUUACCUACGCUUAGAAUGUUGAGUAGCGACAUACGCAC